rnacentral:rRNA from 1 species
GCUCAGAACGAACGCUGGCGGCGUGCUUAACACAUGCAAGUCGAACGCGAAAGGGACUUCGGUCCUGAGUAAAGUGGGGCCGGGUGAGUAACUGUGGAUAAUCACCGAUGGACCGGGAUAACUUUCAAAGGGGUGCAAUACGGAUAAGACCACGGCUUCUAGGGGGCGCGUAAAAGGUGGGGACUUCGGGCUACGUCUCGAUGAGUCCGCUACAUUAGCAGUUGGUAGGGUAAGAGCUACAAGGCGACAUGGUUAGCUGGUCGAGAGGAUGAUCGCCCCCCUGGAACUGAGACACGGUCCAGACUCCUACGGGAGGCAGCAGUGGGGAAUUUUGCGCAUGGGGGAAACCCUGACGCAGCAACGCCGCGUGAGUGAUGAAGGCCUUCGGGUCUAAAGCUCUGUCGAGGGGAAGAAAUGCAGGGGUGCUAAUAUCUCUUUGCUUGACGGUACCCUCAAGGAAGCACCGGCUAACUCCCGUGCCAGCAGCCGCGGUAAUACGGAGGGUGCGAGCGUUGUUCGGAAUUAUUGGGCGUAAAGCGCGUGUAGGCGGUUUGGUAAGUCUGAUGUGAAAGCCCCGGGCCAACCUGGGAAGUGCUUUGGAAACUGUCAGACUUGAAUACGGGAGAGGGUAGUGGAAUUCCUAGUGUAGAGUGAAAUCCGUAGAUAUUAGAGGAACACGGUGGGCGAAGCGGCUACCUGGACCGAUAUUGACGCGAGACGC